ACUUUUGGGUUCUCUACCAUCUUUCUCUGAACAAUUUCAGUUUGAUUCUGAAGUCUGGGCGUCGGUACGUCACUGCUUUUAAACCCUAGGAAUCUUCAUUGAUUGAAGCUCGAGAAGAGAAACGAAAAGAAAAUGAAGAGGGUUUUUGGUGUUAAGAAGGAGAAAGAGCCCCCUCCUUCUAUACAAGAUGCCACUGAUAAAAUUAAUAAAAGAGGUGAAACUGUGGAUGAGAAGAUAAAAAAACUUGAUGCUGAACUUAGUAGAUACAAAGAGCAGAUCAAGAAAACACGACCUGGUCCUGCUCAAGAUGCUAUAAAAGCUCGGGCAAUGAGGGUUCUUAAGCAAAAGCGAAUGUAUGAAGGACAGCGUGAUAUGCUUUACAACCAGACAUUCAAUCUUGAUCAAGUUGCUUUUGCUGCUGAGGGAAUCAAAGAUGCCCAACAAACUGUCUCAGCUUUAAAAUCUGCAAACAAGGAGUUGAAAGGAAUGAUGAAGACUGUGAAAAUUCAAGAUAUAGAAAGCAUGCAAGAUGAGAUGAUGGAUCUGAUGGAAACAAGUGGUGAAAUUCAAGAGUCUCUUGGUAGAAGCUACAAUGUACCUGAUGAUAUUGAUGAGGAAGAACUCAUGGGUGAGCUUGAUGCCUUGGAAGCUGACAUGGGAAUGGAGACAGAGUCAGAUGGGGUUCCCAGUUACCUUCAACCUGACAGGGAACAUGAUGUGGAAGAGGAACUCAACUUGCCUUCAGCACCAUCCGGACAUGCAGCAGUGCCACCUGUUAGGGCCCAGAAAUCAUUGAAGUGGGUGCAAGGCCAAGUAUAGUUUGCUUGAGAAGCAUUGAUAUCGUUUUCUAUUUGAAUACUGUAACUUCACUAUGCAAGCUUCAAGCACUGAAAACAAAGAGCAGAGCACCCACUCUAUGGAUAACGAGAAUUGGUUGAGAGCAUUGAAAAGACCGAAGGACCAUAGCAAGAUUUGACCUACCGCUUGAGUGCUUGUAGAAGCAUUGAAACCAGGCUGGAGAUGAACUCGGUUUACCUGCUGUACCUCGAGCAUCCAUUCGUGGAUAGGGGGCUUAGUCACGAUUCUUUGUGCAGUAACUGAUAUUUUGCACAGUGACCAAUGAUUGGUUUUUAUUUGAAAUUUGGUUGCUUCUCUGAAAUAAUUUUGAGGGUUGGGUUGGCUGGUGAAGUCAAAUUAGGCACUACUGUAGAAGUAAUUGGAGGAACAGAAUUAAAAUUCAGACAGAGAAUGGUCAGGUUGGGUUCAAUAUCCCAUUUUCUUAGAUGAA